rnacentral:rRNA from 1 species
CAGCCGCCGCGGUAAUACGUAGGUGGCAAGCGUUGUCCGGAAUUAUUGGGCGUAAAGGGCUCGCAGGCGGUUUCUUAAGUCUGAUGUGAAAGCCCCCGGCUCAACCGGGGAGGGUCAUUGGAAACUGGGAAACUUGAGUGCAGAAGGGGAGAGUGGAAUUCCACGUGUAGCGGUGAAAUGCGUAGAGAUGUGGAGGAACACCAGUGGCGAAGGCGACUCUCUGGUCUGUAACUGACGCUGAGGAGCGAAAGCGUGGGAGCGAACAGGAUUAGAUACCCCUGUAGUCCCUGUCUCUUAUACA